GGUCAAUUGGAAGUGAGCUAUGGAACGUUGUCCUAAAUUAAGGUUGAGUUGGAUCCAACCUCAACUUGACCUCAACUUUGGGAUUUUCUUGGAAAGCUUGACUCCGCUGUUAGGAUUGUAUUUAUGUGAAUUAAGCUAAUCUUCAGGCAAAGGUAAAGGGAGAGGUAGAGGAAAGCUGGUGAAUGAUAAGAAGCGACCGUAGCAUGCCAUAGGAAACAUUUUGCUUCUGCCAUUAUGAUUUUAGUUUGAUUUUAGUAUUUCUUAUACUUUCAUUUCCUUAACAUCAGUCGGUUCGAACCUCCACUUAGU